ensembl:lncRNA
GGCUGUGGUAAGACUGUGGGGGAGUAGGGGUGGAUACUAAGGGUGUUUGGUGGAGUGGAGGAUGGGGAAGGCUUGAUGCAGUAAGGGUAUAUUCUGAGUUCAGCUACAUUCUACAGUAGGUUACUCUCCCAUGGUACAGUAGGUUACUCUCCCAUAUGGCUAAGUUGAUUGUUCAUCUACAGUAGGUUACUCUCCCAUAUGGCUGAGUUGACUGUUCAGCUACUGUAGGUUAUUCCCCAAUAUGGCUGAGUUGACUGUUCAGCUACUGGAGGUUACUCUCCCAUGCUAGUGUAGGUUACUCUCCCAUCCUACUGUAGGUUACUCUCCUAUGCUACUGUAGGUUACUAUCCCAUGAUACAGUAGGUUACUCUACCAUGCAACUGUAGGUUACUCUUCCAUGCUACUGUAGGUUACUCGCCCAUGCUACUGUAGGUUACUCUCCCAUGAUACUGUAGGUUACUCUCCCAUGCUACUGUAGGUAACUCAUCCAUGCUACUGUAGGUUACUCUCCCAUGAUACUGUAGGUUACUCGCCCAUGCUACUGUAGGUUACUCUCCCAGGCUACUGUUGGUUACUCUCCCAUGUUACUGUAGGUUACUCUCCCAUGUUACUGUAGGUUACUCUCCCAUGCUAUUGUAGGUUACUCUCCCAUGCUACUGUAGUUUACUCACCCAUGCUACUGUAGGUUACUCAUCCAUGCUACCCAUGCUACUGUAGGUUACUCAUCCAUGCUACUGUAGGUUACUCAUCCAUGCUACUGUAGGUUACUCUCCCAUGUUACUGUAGGUUACUCUCCCAUUCUACUGUAGGUUACUCUUCCAUGCUACUGUAGGCUACUCUCCUAUUCUACUGUAGGUUACUCUUCCAUGCUACUGUAGGUUACUCGCCCAUGCUUCUGUAGGUUACUCUCCCAUGCAACUGUAGGUUACUAUCUCAUGCUACUGUAGGUUACUCGCCCAUGCUACUUACUGUAUAUUACUUUCCCAUUCUACUGUAGGUUACUCUCCCAUGCUACUGUAGGUUAGUCUCCCCUGCUACUGUAGGUUACUCUCCCAUGCUACUGUAGGUUACUCUCCCAUGCUACUGUAGGUUUCUCUCCCAUGCUACUGUAGGUUACUCUCCCAUGCUACUGUAGGUUACUCUCCCAUGUUACUGUAGGUUACUCUCCCAUGCUACUCUAGGUCACUCUCCCAUGCUACUGUCGGUUACUCUCCCAUGCUACUGUAGGUUACUCUCCCAUGAUACUGUAGGUUACUCUCCCAUGAUACUGUAGGUUAUUCUCAGAUGUUACUGUAGGUUACUCUCCCAUGCUACUCUAGGUCACUCUCCCAUGAUACUGUAGGUUAUUCUCAGAUGUUACUGUAGGUUACUCUCCCAUGCUACUGUAGGUUACUCUCCCAUGCUACUGUAGGUUACUCUCCCAUGAUACUGUAGGUUACUCUCCCAUGCUACUGUAGGUUACUCUCCCAUGCUACUGUAGGUUACUCUCCCAUGUUACUGUAGGUUACUCUCCCAUGCUACUGUAGGUUACUCUCCCAUGCUACUGUAGGUUACUCUCCCAUGUUACUGUAGGUUACUCUCCCAUGCUACUGUAGGUUAAUAUCUCGAUUGUAUCAUAAUAACUAUUGUCUGGUUUGGGAUGUGCAGUUGCGUAGUGCAGAGAAUAACAUGUACUGAUGUAGAUUGGAACAAACCAUCUACGUAAUGUUGAUGUGUCCGUUUUAAAUGUUACUAUUACUCUUAUUUUAUUCAGGUUGUGUAUGUUUCUGCUGUUGUAAAGGAAUAUAACUUUCCAGGUGAAAUGUAUCUUUGGAGAAAAUGAAAUGUUUGUGGCUUUCACUUUUUUAUUUUUUUAAAAUCUUUUGCUUGCUUGAAAACCGUGCUUACAAAUGAAUGGUGAAUAUAGCUUCUCCAUGUGUUAAUGUAGUGUUAUAAGUCACUGUGGGUGUGAGGUAGCAGUAAUAAAAUGCUGUUUUAUAAC